GAUGAACGCUGGCGGCGUGCCUAAUACAUGCAAGUCGAGCGAACGGACGAGAAGCUUGCUUCUCUGAUGUUAGCGGCGGACGGGUGAGUAACACGUGGAUAACCUACCUAUAAGACUGGGAUAACUUCGGGAAACCGGAGCUAAUACCGGAUAAUAUUUUGAACCGCAUGGUUCAAAAGUAAAAGACGGUCUUGCUGUCACUUAUAGAUGGAUCCGCGCUGCAUUAGCUAGUUGGUAAGGUAACGGCUUACCAAGGCAACGAUGCAUAGCCGACCUGAGAGGGUGAUCGGCCACACUGGAACUGAGACACGGUCCAGACUCCUACGGGAGGCAGCAGUAGGGAAUCUUCCGCAAUGGGCGAAAGCCUGACGGAGCAACGCCGCGUGAGUGAUGAAGGUCUUCGGAUCGUAAAACUCUGUUAUUAGGGAAGAACAUAUGUGUAAGUAACUGUGCACAUCUUGACGGUACCUAAUCAGAAAGCCACGGCUAACUACGUGCCAGCAGCCGCGGUAAUACGUAGGUGGCAAGCGUUAUCCGGAAUUAUUGGGCGUAAAGCGCGCGUAGGCGGUUUUUUAAGUCUGAUGUGAAAGCCCACGGCUCAACCGUGGAGGGUCAUUGGAAACUGGAAAACUUGAGUGCAGAAGAGGAAAGUGGAAUUCCAUGUGUAGCGGUGAAAUGCGCAGAGAUAUGGAGGAACACCAGUGGCGAAGGCGACUUUCUGGUCUGUAACUGACGCUGAUGUGCGAAAGCGUGGGGAUCAAACAGGAUUAGAUACCCUGGUAGUCCACGCCGUAAACGAUGAGUGCUAAGUGUUAGGGGGUUUCCGCCCCUUAGUGCUGCAGCUAACGCAUUAAGCACUCCGCCUGGGGAGUACGACCGCAAGGUUGAAACUCAAAGGAAUUGACGGGGACCCGCACAAGCGGUGGAGCAUGUGGUUUAAUUCGGAGCAACGCGAAGAACCUUACCAAAUCUUGACAUCCUUUGACAACUCUAGAGAUAGAGCCUUCCCCUUCGGGGGACAAAGUGACAGGUGGUGCAUGGUUGUCGUCAGCUCGUGUCGUGAGAUGUUGGGUUAAGUCCCGCAACGAGCGCAACCCUUAAGCUUAGUUGCCAUCAUUAAGUUGGGCACUCUAAGUUGACUGCCGGUGACAAACCGGAGGAAGGUGGGGAUGACGUCAAAUCAUCAUGCCCCUUAUGAUUUGGGCUACACACGUGCUACAAUGGACAAUACAAAGGGCAGCGAAACCGCGAGGUCAAGCAAAUCCCAUAAAGUUGUUCUCAGUUCGGAUUGUAGUCUGCAACUCGACUACAUGAAGCUGGAAUCGCUAGUAAUCGUAGAUCAGCAUGCUACGGUGAAUACGUUCCCGGGUCU
rnacentral:rRNA from 1 species